rnacentral:lncRNA from 1 species
AAUUAAGGAAAAAAAGCUAUAAAAAAAAAAAAAAGGAAAAGUCCUGCAUGAAUGGAAAAAACUGAAGAAGUUGGAGUGCCACCUCAAAAAUGGAUGUUAAAUUAUGAAAAUAAUGAUUAGCAGAGAGAAGGAAGUGUAGCAAUCAUGUGGGUUCAGCAGGCAAGCUAAGAAAAAAAGAUCAUAUUCAGAAGUAAGGUGAGCUGGAUAAACCCAAGGAAUUAGAUUCACCCUAAUUAAUCUCAGACAGACAAGAGAAAACUGCUGCCUCUGCAUUCCAGGAGCUACAACUUCUACUAGAUGGCAAAAGACUGCCAUCAAUAAAUGAAGACUUAAAGGAAGCUCUUUCUGCUUGGACAAAGAGGGAAGGACAUUGAGUAGAUGAAGAUCCCAAAAGGGCAUGUGGAUUUUCUUUUUAUAAGAGCAAUGUGAGGAAAAAGCUUUGAAAGUAUCCUGAGAACACAUACCUGAAUGUGCAGAAAGUAAAGAGAAACUGCUGGGAUCAGUCUUCUGGGACGAUGAACUGCUAUUGACUGUAAGAGUUCACUGCUCUGUCUGGAAGAAUUCAGGUAAGCACUUGAGGACACUAUUUACAAACCAAGGAGGAUUCACAAUUACUUCUAGUUCCCAGCAUCUAACUACAUCUUUUCUCUUAGCUGCAUCAUCCAAUCCUGAUUAAAGCAAAUCCUACAAUAUGUGACACUUAU